CUCUGCUGGUCGCGGUGGCCUGUAGCUCCUCCCUCGGUAGGACCCCCCUCCACCUUGGCGCUUACGAGAUGAAUGAGGAGCCCAGACCUCUGGAACUUGGAGGGUUGUUCAGAUUCCCAGGCUGACAAAAAGGAGAAACAGCUUUUACUUGCAUCCAGGGCCAAUCAUCGCAGACCCAGACGUCUGCAGAGGGGAAAAUAAAAGAAGCAAAAACAGGCCCUGCUGUGAGGGACCACGAGGCAGUGCCAGGAUGAAAGAGUUGGAGUAACCUAGGUGAUUCUGAGUGAAUCAGUCAGGAGGCCUUCCUGGAGGGGACCAUUGCAGGUACUGUGCCUUCUGCCUGAAAUGUGCUCACCUCGCCUCGCUGACUCCUACUCGCCAGUUAGUGUUCGGCCCAUUUCUGCCCCCGUGAGAUUUCUUCACAGAUGUUGCCCUCCCCCAUUUGCUGAGUUUCCUGCAUGCCGGCUCCUUCAGCACUCAAGGGUACCUCUUUGAUUCUGCUUCUCACAGGGCUGAGGCCCCAGCUUGUGGCCACCACAACGUAUCAAGCUAUCU
rnacentral:lncRNA from 10 species